rnacentral:rRNA from 1 species
UACGAAGGGGGCUAGCGUUACUCGGAAUUACUGGGCGUAAAGGGCGCGUAGGCGGCUUGGUCAGUCAGGCGUGAAAUUCCUGGGCUUAACCUGGGGACUGCGCUUGAUACGGCCUGGCUUGAGGCCGAGAGAGGGUGGUGGAAUUCCCAGUGUAGAGGUGAAAUUCGUAGAUAUUGGGAAGAACACCGGUGGCGAAGGCGACCACCUGGCUCGGUUCUGACGCUGAGGCGCGACAGCGUGGGGAGCAAACAGG